CAGAUAUUGGUCAGCCGGGACGCCGGUCAGAAAGAGUCCCCACCCUCCUGUGUAGGUUGACCCACAAUUAUUCACCUGGCUGUUCUGGCUGACAGGAUUUCGUGGUUGUCUCCAUCUGGAGGCGACGUGACGCCCUUCCUGGGAGCACAUAUCCAGUGUCCUCUGGGGAGUAGAGGAGCCAACUUCAGGACUGAUCAAUCAUGACUUCUAUAAAGGAGCAGGCAGCAAUUAGCCGCCUCUUGAGUUUUUUACAGAAUUGGGACAAUGCUGGCAAAGUCACCAGGAGUCACAUCCUCAGCAAUUUCAUUGAGACCAACCAAGGCAAGACUGCCCCUGAGCUGGAGCAGGAGUUUUCCCAGGGAGCCAGCUUGUUCCUGGUACGCUUGACCACCUGGCUUAGACUCACCUAUAUGACUGGCUUGUGUUUAGAGAAGCUUCUAAAGUCCAUUGGCAUCUUCUUAUCAGCUGUAAGCAGCAAUCGGUACCUUAUAGAAUUUCUUGAGGUUGGAGGAGUCCUAACGCUCUUGGAAAUACUUGGGCUGGAGAAGAUCAAGGAAGAAGACAAGAAGGAAUCCAUCAAGCUUCUUCAGGUCAUUGCAAACUCUGGCAGGAAGUACAAGGAGCUCAUUUGUGAAAGUUAUGGUGUACGAUCCAUAGCAGAAUUUUUGGCAAAGUCUAAGUCAGAAGAGACCCAGGAGGAAGUGCAGGUUCUGUUGGAUUCUUUGGUCCACGGUAAUCCCAAGUACCAGAAUCAAGUGUACAAAGGUCUAAUAGCUUUGCUGCCCUCUGCGUCGCCAAAAGCUCAGCAGCUGUCCCUGCAGACACUCAGGACUGCCCAGUCGAUCGUUGGAACCACACACCCCAGCAUCGUGGGCUGCGUGCUGGAUGUGCUGCGCACGAUGCACCUGGAAGUCCAGUAUGAAGCCAUCGAGCUGAUCAAGGACCUGGUCAACUACGACGUGUGCACAGCGCUGCUCAAGGGCCUCGUGGACCUGCUGAUACCGUCUGUCAUGGAGACCAGCAAACUGCAGCCCAAGAUCCUCAAUGACUCCACAGUCUUCCAGCUUACCGCCCACCUGCCUGUGUUUCUACAGCAGGCCGCGGCCGCCAAGGCCAUCAGGGUCCUGGCGCGCAGCAACACUACUCUAGCGGAGCAGAUGCUACACCUGCGUGUGGUGCACAGCCUGAUGGCCGCCAUGGGCAACACGGACCACAGCAACAGCCAGCGGCAGGCUACCCUCACGCUGGAGUACUUUGUGCAGAUGUUCCCAGUGGUGGAGGAGCAUGUGCGCAAGUCCAUGGGAGAGGAACUCUACAAACUCUUCCUCGUAAGUGCUCCCAACCCUCCCCGCCACAGAGAGCAGCUGGCCCGGCAGAAUGGUGUCUCCUCCACACCGUCGUCCCCCCCCCCACACACACACACACCCCCCACACACAUUGGGCCAUGGCCAGCCACAGGAGGAUCUGUUCUGGCUUGGGCUCCUCCACCCAGCAUCUUUUGGUUCCCUUUCCUGCUCCCUCCUACAACAUCCCUCUACUCAAGCCCAACUCUUAAGUCCAGACUGCUCCAGCACCUCAGCCGGCUUUCCCUUGUUCCUGUCCUCAGAGCAACGCCGAGGACUUGUACAUGAAAAUAGAUAGCAUUCAGGCAGACAUCUUGGCAGCCAACGAAGUCAAUGUUACCAGAGCAUUAAACGUCAGUGGCCUCUCUAACAGCAACAUGAGCUUUUACCUUGGCCCUCAUGAUCAGGAGCAGCUGGCCUACAUCACACACACCCAGG